rnacentral:rRNA from 1 species
AUUGAACGCUGGCGGCAGGCUUAACACAUGCAAGUCGAGCGGGGUGAUGGUGCUUGCACUAUCACUUAGCGGCGGACGGGUGAGUAAUGCUUAGGAAUCUGCCUAUUAGUGGGGGACAACAUCUCGAAAGGGAUGCUAAUACCGCAUACGUCCUACGGGAGAAAGCAGGGGAUCACUUGUGACCUUGCGCUAAUAGAUGAGCCUAAGUCGGAUUAGCUCGUUGGUGGGGUAAAGGCCUACCAAGGCGACGAUCUGUAGCGGGUCUGAGAGGAUGAGCCGCCACCAUGGGACUGAGACACGACCCAGCCUCCUACGGGAGGCAGCAGUGGGGAAUAUUGGACAAUGGGGGGAACCCUGAUCCAGCCAUGCCGCGUGUGUGAAGAAGGCCUUAUGGUUGUAAAGCACUUUAAGCGAGGAGGAGGCUCUUUUGGUUAAUACCCAAGAUGAGUGGACGUUACUCGCAGAAUAAGCACCGGCUAACUCUGUGCCAGCCGCCGCGGUAA